CAAACAGCAAGAGGAUUUUUAUUCCAAGCGCACUGGGGCCCACAGUCGUAUGCCACGCAGGGGUAGAGGACUGCGGCCCCGAGUGCGGAAUCGGGACAGAUUUUAUGGGGUUCACAGCAAAGCCCGUGCUUCGCAAACCAAUCAUUUUAAAACAGCUCCGGAGGUCCGCAUUUGCGCGGGCUCCUGGGCAGAGUGACAGAUUGCAGUUGAGAUAGGUCACUAGGGCUUUCAAUGUGUAAUCAAUUCUUCUAUGGCGCUAGUCAGUUUUACAGAAUCCAGAUAAGCGAUUAGUCAGCUCAUUUCCUGUUGUCUUACUUAGGCCAGGGUCACGCAUUCCAGGGCCUAUUUUACGUUCUUUCAUCUAGUUUCAUACAGAAGGCAGGCCCUGGAACAGCAAGAAGUGUGACCUUCUACCUAUUUGCUGGCAGGGAACAGUGUCUGGAAUUCGGGGGCAUUUAGAGCUUUUUAUUAACUUCCUGGGUUCUGGGAGGGUUAGGUUGCAUUUUCAUCCUUUCAUUCCCCACUUCUUCUCUUGUUAAUAGUUCUAAUCUUAGAACUGGGAAGGCUAAAGGUCAGUUUCUCCUUGGCUCGGAAGGCCUUGGUACUGCUGUCUAAGUACCAUGAUCUGAACUGCACUCACUCGUUCUCUGACAAAGGCAACAAACUGAUUAAUUAAGCAAGGCCCAACUGUAAGCAACAGGAGCAGUUAUCACUAGGGGUCCUAUCAGAGCAGACAGCAGGGUGGUCACCCAUGGGGACUUGUUGAACCAUCCCUCAAACCAUCCUUGGCCAGCCUCUUUUCUUUGUGAUGUUUUUCUAACCUUUUUCUGAGCUUGUUCAUAGAGUCCCUGAUAGCUCAGAAUGAUCCACAUAAAAGCAGCAUUCCUCUUUGCUGUUGUUGUUGUUGUUGUUGUUGUUGCUGCUAUUUCUUGGGCCGCUCCCUCGGCAUAUGGAGGUUUCCCGCACGGUGGCGUCUAACAUAGACUGAAUCUCCAACUUGGAAGCGAUGUGGAACUUGCAAGUCUCCUUCUCCUGAGUAGGCUUCCCAGAACUGCUCCCAUGCUCGCUGCCUCACCCACUUGAGCGCCUUGAGCCUAGAGAAUAAAGGCUGGGAAAGCAGCGCAUCAGCACUAUGUACAGAGGCAAUUUCUGCCAACGGGGGGGGGGGUCCCCCAUAGAGCAAUUCAUAGGGGGUCAGCCCAAACUGUCCAGGGGUGUUCCUAACCCUGAAGAGCACACAGGGCAGGAGAGUUAUCCAAUCAUUAACGCCAGUCUCUGUGGUCAAUUUGGUAAGGGUCUCUUUAAUGGUUCUAUUUAUCCUCUCUACCUGUCCUGAGCUUUGGGGUCUGUAUGCACAAUGCAGUUUCCAAUCAAUCCCCAAUAUCUUGGCCAGUCCCUGACUUACCUGGGCAACGAAAGCUGGACCAUUGUCUCACCCUAUUACCUUAGGUAUUCCAAAUCUCAGAAAAAUUUCCUCCAAUAUUGUUUUAGCCACCACGGUUGAAGUCUCUUUCUUAGUAGGAUAAGCCUCGACCCAUCCUGAAAAGGUGUCUACAAAAACCAAUAGAUAUUUGUUUCCGUAUUUAGCCGGCUUUACUUCAGUGAAGUCCACUUCCCAGUGAGCACCUGGGUGGCUUCCCCUUAGUCUCUUUCCCAGAGGCAUUCUGGAAGGAUUAGCAUUAACCAGCUGGCAGGGCACACAAUGUUUGACCACCGAGUCAGCCACUCCUGGUAGUCUCAGAACAUAAGGGGAUGUUCUGACCAACUGCUGCAGAUGUUUAGCUCCUAGGUGGGUUAGACGAUGCAUCUGUUGGACAUACUCUAACCCUUCUUUGUGGGGCAGGAUCUCCUUCCCAUCUGAGGUAUAGCAGGUCCCCUCUGGGGUCUCAGAGAAACAGUCUAUCUUUUUUAUCUCUUGCCAGUCUUCUAGGGUGUACUGUCGCCCGGGUUCCAGGGCUUUGGGCAUUUCUAUUAUAGGCAGAAGGUUAACACCCUGGGCAGCUUGCUUGGCGACCUGGUCAGCCAUCUGGUUUCCUUUGGAGAUGAGAUCUUUGGCUUUCUGAUGUCCAGGGCAAUGUAUAAUGGCUAGCCUUUUUGGCAAAUGUAAGGCCUCCAACAAGCUUAGAAUUUUUUCUUUGUUCUUGACUUCCCUCCCUGCUGAGGUAAGCAACCCCCUUUGUUUAUAGAUGGCCCCAUGCACGUGUGCAGUCGCAAAGGCAUACCUGCUGUCCGUAUAAAUGUUUAUGGAUUUCCCCUCGGCCAGCCGCAAAGCUUGUGUGAGGGCCACGAGUUCAGCCUUUUGUGCUGAAGUCCCUUCCGACAGGCUGCUGGCCCAGAUAGUGCGGGGUCCCGUCCACCACCGCCGCCCUAGCCAUCCUCUUACCUUCCACUACAUAGCUGCUCCCAUCAGUGAACCAGGUCAGCACUUCUCCAGUCAGCGGUAUGUCUGUAAGGUCCUUGCGGACCCCAGUCUCCUCGAUCAACAGUUGAUGGCAAUCAUGAGUCACUGGUUCAUCGGUCUCUUCAGGCAGAAGAGUGGCAGGGUUGAGAGCGGCGGGUGGAGCGAACGUGAUCCUUUCUGUGAGAAGCAGGCUUUGAUAGUGGGUCAUGCGGGCGUUGGUCAUCCAUCGGUCUGGGGGCUGCCGGACGAUGUUCUCCAACGCAUGGGGGGCUAUUACAGUUAUAUUCUGUCCCAAAGUCAAUUUGUCAGCGUCCUUGACCAGUAUGGCCACAGCUGCGAUAGCCUUCAGGCAUACGGGCCAACCACUGGCUACAGGAUCGAGCUUCUUUGACAGGUAGGCAACAGGUCUCCUCCAUGGUCCUAGGGAUUGGGUUAAAACUCCCCGGGCUACCCCCUUAUGCUCAUCCACAUAAAGGGUAAAGGGUUUAGUUACAUCAGGGAGGGCCAGGGCAGGUGCGCUCAGCAGGGCCUUUUUGAUAGCAUCAAAUGCCUUCUGGUGCUCAGGAGCCCAGGAGAAUUCCCCUUUUUCUUUGGUUAGCGGGUAGAGUGGGGCUGCUAAGGUCGCAAAGCCCGGGAUCCACAGUCUGCAAAAUCCAGCUGUCCCCAAAAACUCUCUCACUUGCUUGGCUGUGGUUGGGGCCAGUAUCUGGACUACAGUUCUCUUCCGUGCCUCCGUCAGCCAUCGCUGCCCGUCCCGUAGACUGUACCCCAAGUAUGUUACCUCUCUCCUGCAAAUCUGGGCCUUUUUAGCUGAGGCUCGGUAGCCUAGGUCAGACAAUUCCAGUAGUAGUGCCUUCGUACCUUCUAAGCAGUCCUGUUUGGUGGCUCCCGCCAGAAGCAGGUCAUCCACGUACUGGAGGAGGGUCACCUGGGGGUGUUGGAUCCUGAAGUUGGCCAGGUCUCUGUGUAGGGCUUCGUCAAAGAUGGUCGGGGAGUUUUUGAACCCUUGGGGCAGUCGGGUCCAGGUGAGCUGUCCGGUUCUUCCCGUACCUGGAUCCCUCCACUCAAAGGCAAAAAGUGGUUGGCUAGUGGGGUGUAAUCUCAGGCAGAAGAAGGCAUUUUUUAAGUCCAAUACUGUGUACCAGUUCCGUUUGGGUGGGAGAGCGCUCAAGAGGUUAUAAGGGUUCGGGACCAUUGGGUGUAUGUCCUGCACCCGUUUAUUGACCUCUCUCAAGUCCUGUACUGGUCGGUAAUCAUUGGUCCCAGGCUUCCUAACUGGUAGCAGGGGAGUAUUCCAAGGGGAUCGGACAGGAACUAGGAUGCCCUGUUGGAUUAAUCUUUGAACAUGCGGCCAAAUUUCUUCUCGAGCCUCUCUACUCAAGGGGUACUGUCUGACUGAUAUUGGUGUGGCACUGGCCUUCAGCUGAAUAACCUGUGGGGGAACUUGCUUUGCCAAACCCAUCCCUGCGGUUUCUGCCCAGGCUUGGGGAAACUGCUCCAACCAGGACUAUAUAUUUUGAUCAGGCUUUACUAGGGGAGAAUAUAGUCGAUAUUCAUCAUCUAAUUGGAGGGUCAACACAGUGAUGGGUUUGUUAUUCGCAGACACUUCUGGUUUCCCUUGUUCAAAAGAAAUUUGAGCUCCCAUCUUGGUCAGUAAGUCUCUACCUAGGAGGGGUAUUGGGCACUCAGGGAUGACCAGAAACAAGUGGGUUACCCGUCCCACUCCCAAGUCAACGGUUCUUCGGGUAGUCCAUGGAUACUGCCGUUGCCCUGUGGCACCCAUCACCCAGGAUUUUUUAUCUUUUAGUUUUCCUAAUGGCUGUAGCAGCACUGAAUGCUCCGCUCCGGUAUCAACCAGGAACUCAACUGGUUGCCCCUCCACCUUCAAAGUUACCCUGGGCUCGGGGAGGGGGUCCGAACCCCGUCUCCCCUAAUCUUUAUCUUCUUCCAGAGCUAGGACCUUUGGUCCUUUGUUUCCCUUCUUGGGGCAGUCCCUUGCCCAGUGUCCUUUUUCUUUACAAUACACGCACUGGUCCUUGUCGAGUGGGGUCCUAUUGCCCAGGUUCCCUGACUGUCUAGGGCCUGACCUAAUUUUCCUAAAAUCUCUCUCUCUCUCUCUACUGCUCGUCCCUUCAACCACUGCGGCCAAGAUCUUAGUCAAAUUCUUCUCUUGCCGUCUAUCACGUCUUUCCUCCCUUUUCUCUUUCUCCCUUUCUUUUUUUUGUUCCCUUUCCUCUUCUGUCUCCCUUUUGUAAUACACUUUCUCUGCCUCCUUCACUAGAUCACGUAACUCAGCCUCCUGUAACCCUUCUAGUCUCUGAAGUUUUCUUCUGAUGUCCAGGGCCGACUGCCCUAUGAAGGCCAGGGCCACUGAGGCUUUCUGGGCCUCCGAGGUAGGAUCAAAAGGGGUGAACCGCCUGAAGGCUUCCAUGAGCCUCUCAAGAAAUACCGAGGGAGGUUCGUUCGGUCCCUGCAUCACCUCUCUUACCUUAGCCAAAUUAGUGGGCCGUCUUGAGGCGCCCCGGAGACCCGCCACCAGAGCCUGGUGAUAGAUUUUCAAGCUCUCCCUACCUUCAGCCGUGUUGUAGUCCCAACUGGGGCGAGUCAAGGGAAAUCCCAUGUCAAUCUCAUUUUGCAACUGCGUGGGUCGCCCGUCGGCCCCAGGAACAUUUUUUCUAGCCUCUAACAGAAUUCUCUCUCGCUCCUCGGUUGUGAAGAGUGUCUGCAGCAGCUGUUGACAAUUAUCCCAAGUGGGCUGGUGAGAGAACAUAAGGGACUCCACCAACCCCGUGAGGCGUUGGGGAUCCUCCGAGAAAGGGGGAUGGUUAGUUUUCCAAUUAUAGAGAUCUGCAGAAGAAAAGGGCCAAUACUGGAGGGGCUGCAGUUGGCCCCCCGGCAUGGGAGGGCCACAGGU
rnacentral:lncRNA from 9 species